CUCAAGCUCUUAAUGUUUCUGCCACGGUGCAAAGACACCUUCUUCAACUGCAAGCUGACCAUCCUUUACGCUUUCUGCUCUUUUGCUGACAGAUCUUUUUCCUCCUGCUACUCCCACGUUCUGACCCCAUCCCGUGGCCCAAGUGUAGGACGGUGUGUCCUCCACCCAGGGAGGGCAGCCACAUCCCAGCACUGCCCUGGCAGCCACUUGUGCUGCAGAAAACAAAGCUAAAGAAAAAGUGCAUUCAGCCAGCAGAAAUCUUUAAAAUGCACAUAGAUCAAUUCUGUAUAAAAAGUGCUUUUGUUUCCUGCUCAGGAACAGGUUUUUUAAUUAACUGAAUGGGAGGAGUUGUAAAAAACAGGAACAAUGACUGAGUCAGAAGCUCAGUCAGUUCUCACUGGCUUAACAGGGCUUUAACAUGAGACAGAAUAAACUUAUUUCAUUCAGUUAGACAUUUUUAUCAAUGUGUAGAGAGACUUUGGAGCUGAGGCUGGGUAUCCUGAAAGACUGUCUGUGCAUUAUAGAGCAGCUUAUUGUUUCAAAGCUUGUAUCUCAUUUGCUUGCUGAAUAUAUAUGUAGUUUCUAGCAGAGCCUGUAUUUUUUCCCCUUCUCCCCUCUUCCUCAACAUAAAUCUACUAAAGUAUUGUACUCAAAUUACUGCAGAACCUGUUGCUCAAGCAAGUUCCCAAUGUUUGUGUAUCUGCAAUAGAAAGAAGUGAUUGCUGUUAUUCUGUGUAAUUAAAAAGACAAUUUUCUUUGGAAAGGUACUAUCACUUUGUAUGUCAAUGCCUGUCAAUGCAGACUAUAGCUUAGUUUACAAUGUGUUUAAAUUAGGAAGAAAUUAAAUCUAUUAGGAAGGAAUUAAAUUUAUUAUAGCUCCGACCACCAGCAAUCAUGACCAAGUUCUGAAAAAACAAGUUCACUUUACUUCUGGAACAAAUUAAACAACUUUUUAAAAACUGAAAUGAAGCCAAUUUCCAAAGAAACUCUUUAAUUACACAACAGGUCUGGUUUAUUCAUCUGAGGUUUCCUGUCAAGGAGAGUAUUCAGCUUUAAGUACAUUCAUGCUACAGCUAAAAUUACAUUAAGGAGAAUUUAAAACAAGUGCAGAGCCAAAAUAAUACACGAUCUGAAAAUCACCUUGAUGAAGUACACAUAGGAUCUUAUGCUCCAAAAACUGUCAUCUGUAAUGCUGGAAUAUCUAUCAAGCAUACAAAGUGACUUGCAGCAAGCAAACAUCGCUAAUAAUUUUUGGUUUAGGAUCAGCAGUCACGUUUGUAUCCCUGCCUCAGCUGAGAGGCAGAAGGUGUUUGGAUCCCUGCAUUCUGCAUGAGCUAUGCCAUCUCUUCACUCACUCCCUAUGAGUGCAGAGUUUGUCAGAAUUGUCUGGUUUCCAGUACAAGAGGACAUUGAUUCAGCGCUGUGCAAUUUACCCACGAGGCAGACAAAGCUCUUGAUAACAGCUCAAGAUGAAUGAAGGCAGCUUUUAAGAAUGAGCAUUUUGGCAUAUGUUCACAGCAUGUGCUGAAGUGUCACCAGGAGAAAAAAAAAAAAGGGAAAGAAGGAAAGAAGAGAUGAACUGAAAAGAAUUAUUGUGAGAUACUUUCCCAGUGCUUUGAAGCCUCCAUGGGAUGCCUGCAUGCACUCAACGCCACAAGCUAGGUUUAGACUACCCUACAUCUUGGUGGGCAGCUGGAGUUCAAUCUACCCCUCUGCUUUUUUAUUUGAGCUAUCAAUCUGA